UCGGUUAUUGGCUCAGCCAUCAUCACCAUCUCUGAGAUCAGCUGCUUUGUGUAAAGAAAGGUAAGAAUUUUGUAAAAUGAGGUCAGUCAAUAUGUAAUGCACUUCUGGUCUGCUUGUAGCUUCAGAUCUGUGGUGUGGUGGGAGUUUAUCUUAGAAGCUGCGGGCUUUGCUCAAGACACUCCCAAGGCAUGUGCAGGAAAUGAACUGGGAACUAAUGGUUGCUGUUAAAAGGGUGUGAUUUAUGGGGCCUGGCUUUCGAGUCUCACUUUUGAGCAAGCUUCUUUUAUUUAUGCAGAUUGAGCUGAUUAGUGUUGCGAUACAUUACCUGCCAGGCAUGCUUAACAACGAUCAUCUCGUGCUCACUUUUUCACUUCAUGCCCUGGGAGCCCCAUGCAGAUUAAGCACAAUGAUAAUCGAAAGUGGCCUUGCAACAAAGGUACAAUGCAAGUGCUCUGCAAGCCAGGGUUUCCAUCUUCGGGAGCUAAGUGCAAGCUAUUCCCAUGUUGCUCCAGCCAAGAGUGUCCCGACCAACGCUGUCUAAACUUGCGUUGCAAGUGAGCAUCCUGGCCUUCAUGUGUUACAGGCGUGUGACACCUGCCGAACUUUUUCAUUUCUAGUCUAAGAGCAACCGAUGCUAUGCACGGAGCGUUCUAUGACAACAUUCUGCGUGUGCUAACUCUAAAGAGUUUUAACAUGUCCUUGUAUGUACUGCUAUUUAUGGAACUGUGAUUCCAAAGUCGUGUACAAAGAGCACAACUACUGCAUACGUCCCUGGCAUUUUGUAAAAGGUAACACAUAGGUCCUCUGGCAUGCAGUACCCCCUGUAUGCUAUGGCAGCUGUUCUAACAAUCACCUGGAUGUUUUCUAAGCUUUCUUUAGACACAGACUAUUGUAUGAUGUAUAAGAUAUAUAGCUCCACCUUUUCUUGAUGUGAAGAUUAAUGCCCUCAUGAUCUAGGUAAAGUAGGCAUCACAUUUUGUUCUGAUCACUUUUGGGCGUGGCACUUCUGGUGAUCUCUGAUCGCUGGCAAAUGGAGGUGUGCUUUAAAGGGCCC
rnacentral:lncRNA from 1 species